UACGAAGGUGGCUAGCGUUGCUCGGAAUCACUGGGCGUAAAGGGUGCGUAGGCGGGUCUUUAAGUCCGGGGGGAAAUCCUGGAGCUCAACUCCAGAACUGCCUUUGAUACUGAAGAUCUUGAGUCCGGGAGAGGUGAGUGGAACUGCGAGUGUAGAGGUGAAAUUCGUAGAUAUUCGCAAGAACACCAGUGGCGAAGGCGGCUCACUGGCCCGGUACUGACGCUGAGGCACGAAAGCGUGGGGAGCAAACAGG
rnacentral:rRNA from 1 species